rnacentral:misc_RNA from 1 species
CACCCCCUCCAGCUGCCGUGGUGUGGCUGCGGUGUUGGGGCUCGUCGCGACGCGGCGGCCCUUAAAGACAGUGGCGGUCCCGGCGUGGGCUCUACGCGUAGUAACUUGCUUCUCGCGACAGAGUGACGACGGUGGCCUGCCAGAACAACCCCCUUUUGCUCCAGUCACAUGGAUCACA